rnacentral:rRNA from 1 species
UCCAGACUCCUACGGGAGGCAGCAGUGGGGAAUACUGCACAAUGGGGGAAACCCUGAUGCAGCGACGCCGCGUGAGCGAUGAAGUAUUUCGGUAUGUAAAGCUCUAUCAGCAGGGAAGAAAAUGACGGUACCUGACUAAGAAGCCCCGGCUAACUACGUGCCAGCAGCCGCGGUAAUACGUAGGGGGCAAGCGUUAUCCGGAUUUACUGGGUGUAAAGGGAGCGUAGACGGCUGUGCAAGCCAGAUGUGAAAGCCCGGGGCUCAACCCCGGGACUGCAUUUGGAACUGGGUGGCUGGAGUGGCGGAGAGGCAGGCGGAAUUCCUAGUGUAGCGGUGAAAUGCGUAGAUAUGAGGAGGAACACCAGUGGCGAAGGCGGCCUGCUGGACGAUGACUGACGUUGAGGCUCGAAAGCGUGGGGAGCAAACAGGAUUAGAUCCCCCUGUA